rnacentral:rRNA from 1 species
CCUACGGGUGGCAGCAGUGGGGAAUAUUGCACAAUGGGCGCAAGCCUGAUGCAGCCAUGCCGCGUGUGUAAAGAAGGCCUUCGGGUUGUAAAGCACUUUCAGCGGGGAGGAAGGCGGUGAGGUUAAUAACCUCAUCGAUUGACGUUACCCGCAGAAGAAGCACCGGCUAACUCCGUGCCAGCAGCCGCGGUAAUACGGAGGGUGCAAGCGUUAAUCGGAAUUACUGGGCGUAAAGCGCACGCAGGCGGUCUGUCAAGUCGGAUGUGAAAUCCCCGGGCUCAACCUGGGAACUGCAUUCGAAACUGGCAGGCUAGAGUCUUGUAGAGGGGGGUAGAAUUCCAGGUGUAGCGGUGAAAUGCGUAGAGAUCUGGAGGAAUACCGGUGGCGAAGGCGGCCCCCUGGACAAAGACUGACGCUCAGGUGCGAAGGCGUGGGGAGCAAACAGGAUUAGAUACCCCAGUAGUC